rnacentral:rRNA from 1 species
GAUGAACGCUGGCGGCGUGCCUAAUACAUGCAAGUCGAGCGAACAGAUGAGGAGCUUGCUCCUCUGACGUUAGCGGCGGACGGGUGAGUAACACGUGGAUAACCUACCUAUAAGACUGGGAUAACUUCGGGAAACCGGAGCUAAUACCGGAUAAUAUAUUGAACCGCAUGGUUCAAUAGUGAAAGACGGUUUUGCUGUCACUUAUAGAUGGAUCCGCGCCGCAUUAGCUAGUUGGUAAGGUAACGGCUUACCAAGGCGACGAUGCGUAGCCGACCUGAGAGGGUGAGCGGCCACACUGGAACUGAGACACGGUCCAGACUCCUACGGGAGGCAGCAGUAGAGAAUCUUCCGCAAUGGGCGAAAGCCUGACGGAGCAACGCCGCGUGAGUGAUGAAGGUCUUCGGAUCGUAAAACUCUGUUAUUAGGGAAGAACAAAUGUGUAAGUAACUAUGCACGUCUUGACGGUACCUAAUCAGAAAGCCACGGCUAACUACGUG